rnacentral:rRNA from 1 species
UACGUAGGGGGCAAGCGUUGUCCGGAAUCACUGGGCGUAAAGUGCGCGCAGGCGGUCAUCUACGUCUGGGGUGAAAGCCCGGAGCUCAACUCCGGGACUGCCUUGGAUACGGGAUGACUUGAGGAUCGGAGAGGCAAGGGGAAUUCCACGUGUAGCGGUGAAAUGCGCAGAUAUCAGGAGGAACACCAAUGGCGAAGGCAGCACUCUGGGACGUGACUGACGCUGAGACGCGAAAGCGUGGGGAGCAAACAGG